UCAUGCGGGACUGUGGUGUGGGUCCCCCCACCUCUUGGCCUUGGCGAUCGCAUCUGUUAGGUGGGAUGGAUACCCUCGCUAGUGAGCAAAACGGCGCCCUCUGCUGGCCGGGCCGCACAACACCCUACAUCCCUCAAAACCUCUCAGCUGCGCAUUCACAGACCCAGACGCAACCCAGAAGGAAAUUUCCGUCGCCGAGUCCCGAGAUGGGGCGUGGCAGGACAUGAAUCCAGGCCGUCCGAGCCAGAGGCCGGGCGCGCCGCGGGACGCGGGUAUCGGGGGCCGGGGCUGUCCACCGAGGGCGCGAGGCCCCGUGGCCCAGCAGGGGGCAUACAGCAGUCAUUCGUGAUGGUGCUUGCCUGCGCGUUCUCAGAGCCGCCCAAAGGUUGGGGCGUGGGGACGCCUCCCCACAGAAGGCCCCGUGGAAGGUGAGGCGAGGCGCAGGAGCACCUUUAGUAGAACCGAAAGGACCAGAGAGCCUCGCGGUUGAAGGGUGAGCUGGGUAGGGGAGAGCAGCAGAGCACGGAGAAGCUCUCUUGCUGUGUGAGUACCUGCCUGUCAUCCCCACAGAAGAGGAAACGGCUACAGUCCCGGGUGGUGCUAGUCAUCUUUUCUCCUGCUGAUGAACCAGCUCCCCAGUUUGGGACCACUGUGCAGUGAGCUGUGAUGGACAUCUUGUGCAGGCUCUUGGAGGCGGUUAGAUCUGAUGCGCGGCUAAAUCAUCAGGUGACGGGUGGCAAGUUCUUUCCAAGAUGGAAAUCUGAUUAUGUAAUGCUCGCGUAUCAUGCGUGACCAUCAAUUCCAGGAGGGCCAUAGACCUGAGCACAAUGAGGAAAACUGCAAGACUUUUAGAAGACAACAGAGCAAAUUAGCUUUAUGACCGUGGGCCAGGGAAGAUUUCUUCAAUGAAACAUCAAAAAUAAAUAAGAAUCAA